rnacentral:lncRNA from 1 species
CUGUUAUGGAAAAGGACAAAGAACAGGAGGAAUGAGGAAGAGUAAUAGAGUGAAGCUAUGAAAUGUUGCUGCAAAACUACAAAAAGGAGUUUAUCUGUUUAGUGCAUGGAUUAAACGUUAUAGGGAGCUUCGACACUAAAACAAAACCUUCAAUCAAGACUACAAGGUAUAGAUACAACUCCCUCCAGUGAACAACUCAAGAAGAGUUUUGCAGUGACUGUCCUGAAUGACCCAAAUGUAAGUACUGUAAAUACAUUCUCUAUAAGGUGGAAGAGAC